UACGGGGGGGGCAAGCGUUGUUCGGAAUUACUGGGCGUAAAGGGCUCGUAGGCGGCCAACUAAGUCGGAUGUGAAAUCCCCAGGCUUAACCUGGGAACUGCAUCCGAUACUGGAUGGCUUGAAUUCGGGAGAGGGAUGCAGAAUUCCAGGUGUAGCGGUGAAAUGCGUAGAUAUCUGGAGGAACACCGGUGGCGAAGGCGGGUCUCUGGACAGUUCCUGACGCUGAGGCACGAAGGCCAGGGGAGCAAACGGG
rnacentral:rRNA from 1 species